UAACUUCGGGAAACCGGAGCUAAUACCGGAUAAUCCUUUCCCUCUCAUGAGGGAAAGCUGAAAGACGGUUUCGGCUGUCACUUACAGAUGGGCCCGCGGCGCAUUAGCUAGUUGGUGAGGUAACGGCUCACCAAGGCAACGAUGCGUAGCCGACCUGAGAGGGUGAUCGGCCACACUGGGACUGAGACACGGCCCAGACUCCUACGGGAGGCAGCAGUAGGGAAUCUUCCGCAAUGGACGAAAGUCUGACGGAGCAACGCCGCGUGAACGAUGAAGGCCUUCGGGUCGUAAAGUUCUGUUGUCAGGGAAGAACAAGUAUCGGAGUAACUGCCGGUACCUUGACGGUACCUGACCAGAAAGCCACGGCUAACUACGUGCCAGCAGCCGCGGUAAUACGUAGGUGGCAAGCGUUGUCCGGAAUUAUUGGGCGUAAAGCGCGCGCAGGCGGUUCCUUAAGUCUGAUGUGAAAGCCCCCGGCUCAACCGGGGAGGGUCAUUGGAAACUGGGGAACUUGAGUGCAGAAGAGGAGAGCGGAAUUCCACGUGUAGCGGUGAAAUGCGUAGAGAUGUGGAGGAACACCAGUGGCGAAGGCGGCUCUCUGGUCUGUAACUGACGCUGAGGCGCGAAAGCGUGGGGAGCGAACAGGAUUAGAUACCCUGGUAGUCCACGCCGUAAACGAUG
rnacentral:rRNA from 1 species